GUUAGGUAGAAAGUCGGGAUGCGGAGAUGCCUAGCCGUUGACUUUCCCAAAUGAUAGCGAACAUGUGAAAGGGGUACCAUUUGGCAGAGGUGGUCUCCCGCGAGUUAAGUUAGAUGCAAUCGAUGCGAAUGCCUGAUCGGGAAGAGAGGAUUCACCUGCGCCAACUCGGGGGAACCAACCCCAAGGUGGCUCGGAAUGCUUGAUACGGAGAAUCCGGUGACGCAGCUCGCCGGCCGAUAACGCCGAUUCCUCUCCGGAGUCGACCUCGAUGAUCCGGCCGAUCGGAAGAUUCCUCCCGUACCGCGUGGAUUCCAGGUCGGUGUCGAAGAAGUUGCCGUCACUCCGAUGACCUCAUAGAGAAAACUUGCUCUCGCCGCGUCCGAGGACUCCAUAAUCCCCGCCAGUUUGCGAGUCCCGUCGUCCGUGACAGUUAUGUCGAUAAUGCCGAACGGCGCCGCAAUUCCCAGGACGUCGAAUUCGACGCCCUGACGCGCCAGGUAGUUCCCCGAGUCCUCCACAUAAUUUUUAAUAUUUUCGGCUAUAUAUUUCUCCGUGUCCGCCGGACGGAACGAUUGAGGUUCUCGUCCAUUCCUCGAUCUGGUUAAUUUUGAUGGCUAGACCCCAAGAUAUAAUUAUUCAUUAGCAAGCAUAAAGGGGGUGAUGCUCGAACUGCUUAUCGGAGAGGUUCCGAGUGGUAAAGCCGAACCAAGCGUGACUCGAGAUCCGGACUCGAAAUACGUUCCGGGGAAGUCUCGACUUAUGGUCCCUAAAUUUCCUUAAAUUGCAGGCUUUAAGCCCAGCCGGGUCUCGAGUCGAGGUUAAGGCCAUGCCUUUAUCGCUUCUUGAUGGCCGGGUCGAGAUGUAGGCCCAGUUUUACGGGGAAUCGGG